UAAAUUUGCUGCCACUAGGGUGCGUCUAGAUUUCUAGGCUAGUAUCUAAGAGCAGUAUGAUGAUGAUAAUAAUGGUAAAUAACGUUAAUCUGUGUUGCGCCCCAGUCUAGGGGUGCCUAGGACGCAACAUGAAAAGGCCCCAUCUUCCCCGUCUCCCAAGUAGCCACAAACAAUUAGGUGGUUAGAUCAACAUACAUAUUUAUUUUACGUAGAAAAAAAUACAUACAUAACAGAUAUAUAAGGCUUCAGGGUGGCCUACCACAAAAGUAACAAACUAAACAAUUCUAACUGGGAGAUAAGAAACUAACCUAACAAAAAGAAGGGCAAAACAAAUGAAGGGUGAACAUCUGCAAGUCUAUCUUUAAUAUUUUAGUGAUUAUUUAAACUUACGCACUCUGCUGUACUUUUUAAAAACAUUACUAUAGUUAGCUGAACUGGACAGAAAUACUCAUACAUGUUUAUCGGUUAUUUAAUGAGUUAGUCACUUAAAAUAAAAUCUUACUCUGUUGUACUUUAUGUUUAGAUGACUAUCAGAUAGAUGUAUGGUUAUAAUUCACAUUGACAAAGCUUUCCUACAGGUCGUAUUAUCACUUAUUUAAAAAUGUAUUUAUCUUACUUUUCUUUUUUUUUUUUUUUUUUUCUGCAAUAGAUCAGCUGUUUCCCUGAUGACAAAGAAGUUGGACCUUCAGACCAGAUGAGAAGCGUGGCUGACUACAAGAAAAGUCAGAGAGCGAUGGUCACCUGUUUUAGUCAACAAAUAGAGUACGGGCAGGACUCUGGCAUUCCUGGGCCAUGUGUGAAUGGAUGUGGACCAGCUGAUCUUCCCAGGACAGGACACUACUACAUGUAGCAGCACAUCAGUUCACACAGUGAACCACUCUCAGCAGCCUCCUGGGUCGGCCCAGACUAAGCCUUCCUACACAGCCUACUGUUCACUCUUUUUCAUUUUUACCGCUUGACUGGUUUGGUGUUGAACUCAAUAAAAGAACAUCAGCCAUCUGA